rfam:Punica granatum cultivar Dabenzi scaffold140, whole genome shotgun sequence.
AGUUGCGCAUUGAGUACAGAGCAAACUAUUCUUUCACCUUUUACUAAAGAAUACCAUGUGCUCAUUGCAGAAAGCAGCAUACAUCAUUCGAUGCUAAACAUUUCUUCUCAUCAGAGAAUA